rnacentral:rRNA from 1 species
CUGCGAAGGUGUACUGUGAGGUAUGCUGGAGGUAUCAGAAGUGCGAAUGCUGACAUAAGUAACGAUAAUGCGGGUGAAAAACCCGCACGCCGGAAGACCAAGGGUUCCUGUCCAACGUUAAUCGGGGCAGGGUGAGUCGACCCCUAAGGCGAGGCUGAAAAGCGUAGUCGAUGGGAAACGGGUUAAUAUUCCCGUACUGGUGGUAACUGCGAUGGGGGAACGGAGAAGGCUAGGUUGUCCGGGCGACGGUCGUCCCGGUUCAAGCAGGUAGGCAGAGUGAUUAGGCAAAUCCGGUCACUUAAUGCUGAGAUGUGAUGACGAACCACCAAGGUGGUGAAGCAAUUGAUGCCCCGCUUCCAGGAAAAGCCUCUAAGCUUCAGGUUACCAACAAUCGUACCCCAAACCGACACAGGUGGUCAGGUAGAGAAUACUCAGGCGCUUGAGAGAACUCGGGUGAAGGAACUAGGCAAAAUGGUGCCGUAACUUCGGGAGAAGGCACGCUGGCGGUAGGUAAAGUCCCU